rnacentral:rRNA from 1 species
UACAGAGGUCCCAAGCGUUAAUCGGAAUUACUGGGCGUAAAGCGUGCGUAGGCGGUUAUCUAAGUCGGAUGUGAAAGCCCCGGGCUCAACCUGGGAAUUGCAUUCGAGACUGAAUAGCUAGGGUACGGUAGAGGGAAGUGGAAUUUCCGGUGUAGCGGUGAAAUGCGUAGAUAUCGGAAGGAACAUCAGUGGCGAAAGCGACUUCCUGGACCAGUACCGACGUUCAGGCACGAAAGCGUGGGGAGCAAACAGG